GACAGAGGUCCCGAGCGUUAGGCGGAAUCACUGGGCUUAAAGCGCGUGUAGGCGGUCCGGUAAGUCCGCUGUGAAAGCCAGGGGCUCAACCCUUGGAUGCCGGUGGAUACUGUCGGGCUUGAGUACGGAAGAGGCGAGUGGAAUUCCUGGUGUAGCGGUGAAAUGCGCAGAUAUCAGGAGGAACACCAAUUGCGAAGGCAGCUCGCUGGGACGUUACUGACGCUGAGACGCGAAAGCGUGGGGAGCAAACAGG
rnacentral:rRNA from 1 species